UACGAAGGGGGCUAGCGUUGCUCGGAAUCACUGGGCGUAAAGGGUGCGUAGGCGGGUCUUUUAAGUCAGGGGUGAAAUCCUGGAGCUCAACUCCAGAACUGCCUUUGAUACUGAAGAUCUUGAGUUCGGGAGAGGUGAGUGGAACUGCGAGUGUAGAGGUGAAAUUCGUAGAUAUUCGCAAGAACACCAGUGGCGAAGGCGGGUCUCUGGACAGUUCCUGACACUGAG
rnacentral:rRNA from 1 species